GAGCGGCCGAUGUCUGAUUAGCUAGUUGGUAAGGUAAUGGCUUACCAAGGCAACGAUCAGUAGUUGGUCUGAGAGGACGACCAGCCACACUGGGACUGAGACACGGCCCAGACUCCUACGGGAGGCAGCAGUGGGGAAUUUUGGACAAUGGGCGCAAGCCUGAUCCAGCAAUGCCGCGUGAGUGAAGAAGGCCUUCGGGUUGUAAAGCUCUUUCAGUUGAGAAGAAAAGAUUGUGACUAAUAAUUGCAAUUCAUGACGGUAUCAACAGAAGAAGCACCGGCUAACUACGUGCCAGCAGCCGCGGUAAUACGUAGGGUGCGAGCGUUAAUCGGAAUUACUGGGCGUAAAGGGUGCGCAGGCGGUUCUGUAAGUCAGAUGUGAAAUCCCCGGGCUUAACCUGGGAACU
rnacentral:rRNA from 1 species